CCGCCACGGCUAAAAAUAGAACAUAGGGGUAAAAUGCAGUUUUUGGCUUAUAACUCAAAAACCAAAGCAUUUAGAGCAAAUCUGACAUGGGGUAAAAUGUUUAUCAGGUCAAGAUCUAUCUGCCCUGAAAUUUUCAGAUGAAUCGGUCAAUCGGUUGUUGGGUUGCUGCCCCUGAAUUGGUAAUUUUGAGGAAAUUUUGCUGUUUUUGGUUAUUAUCUUGAAUAUUAUUAUAGAUAGAGAUAAACUGUAAACAGCAAUAAUGUUCAGCAAAGUAAGAUCUACAAAUAAGUCAACAUGACCAAAAUGGUCAGUUGACCCCUUUAGGAGUUAUUGCCCUUUAUAGUCAAUUUUUAACCAUUUUUCGUUAAUUAAAGUAAUCUUUUACAAAAAUCUUCUCCUCUGAAACUACUGGGCC
rnacentral:lncRNA from 1 species